UGCAAGUCGAGCGCACCUUCGGGUGAGCGGCGGACGGGUUAGUAACGCGUGGGAAUAUACCCAAUGGUACGGAAUAGCCUCUGGAAACGGAGAGUAAUACCGUAUGUGCCCUUCGGGGGAAAGAUUUAUCGCCAUUGGAUUAGCCCGCGUUGGAUUAGGUAGUUGGUGGGGUAAUGGCCUACCAAGCCUACGAUCCAUAGCUGGUUUGAGAGGAUGAUCAGCAACACUGGGACUGAGACACGGCCCAGACUCCUACGGGAGGCAGCA
rnacentral:rRNA from 1 species